rnacentral:rRNA from 1 species
UACGAAGGGGGAGCUAGCGUUGUUCGGAAUUACUGGGCGUAAAGCGCACGUAGGCGGAUAUUUAAGUCAGGGGUGAAAUCCCGGGGCUCAACCCCGGAACUGCCUUUGAUACUGGGUAUCUAGAGUCCAGAAGAGGUGAGUGGAAUUCCGAGUGUAGAGGUGAAAUUCGUAGAUAUUCGGAGGAACACCAGUGGCGAAGGCGGCUCACUGGUCUGGUACUGACGCUGAGGUGCGAAAGCGUGGGGAGCAAACAGG